CGCAAUGGGCGAAAGCCUGAUGGAGCGACACCGCGUGAAGGAUGAAGCCUUUGUUGGUGUAAACUUCUUUUCUCUGGGAAGAUAAUGACGGUACCAGAGGAAUAAGGGGCGGCAAACUUCGUGCCAGCAGCCGCGGUAAUACGAAGGCCCCAAGCGUUAUCCGGAAUCAUUGGGCGUAAAGGAUGUGUAGGUGGCCCUGUUAGUCUCACGUUAAAUAUUGCGGCUUAACCGUAAAAAUGCGUGGGAAACGGCAGGACUUGAGGGUGCAAGGGGUUACUGGAACUCUAGGUGUAGCGGUGAAAUGCGUUGAUAUCUAGGGGAACACCAAAAGCGAAGGCAAGUAACUGGGGCAUUCCUGACACUGAAACAUGAAAGCGU
rnacentral:rRNA from 1 species